rnacentral:rRNA from 1 species
GAUGAACGCUGGCGGCGUGCCUAAUACAUGCAAGUAGAACGCUGAAGGCGUAGCUUGCUCUUCUGGAUGAGUUGCGAACGGGUGAGUAACGCGUAGGUAACCUGCCUGGUAGCGGGGGAUAACUACUGGAAACGAUAGCUAAUACCGCAUGACAACAGUUAUUGCAUGAUAACUGUUGAAAAGGUGCAACUGCUCCACUACCAGAUGCACCUGCGUUGUAUUAGCUAGGUGGUGAGGUAACGGCACACCAAGGCGACGAUACAGAGCCGACCUGAGAGGGGGGUUGGCCAGACUGAGAGUGAGACACGGCCCAGAGGCCUACGGAAGGCAGCAGUAGGGAAUCGUGGGCCAUGGACGGGAGACUGACCGAGCAACGCCGAGUGAGUGAGGAGGAUCGUCGGGUGGUAGAGCUCGGUUGUAAGAGAGGAACGAGUGUGAGAGUGGAAAGAUCACACUGUGACGGUAUCUUACCAAGAAGGGACGGCUAACUACGUG